rnacentral:rRNA from 1 species
UACGUAGGGUGCGAGCGUUAAUCGGAAUUACUGGGCGUAAAGCGUGCGCAGGCGGUUCGUUGAGUCAGAUGUGAAAGCCCCCGGCUCAACCGGGGAAUUGCGCCCUAAACUGGACGGCUGGAGUGAGGCAGGGGUGUGUGGAACUUCCGGUGGAGCGGUGAAAUGUGUUGAUAUCGGAAGGAACGCCGGUGGCGAAAGCGACACACUGGGUCUCAACUGACGCUGAGGCACGAAAGCCAGGGGAGCAAACGGG